UGGGGAAUUUUGGACAAUGGGGGAAACCCUGAUCCAGCCAUCCCGCGUGUGCGAUGAAGGCCUUCGGGUUGUAAAGCACUUUUGGCAGGAAAGAAACGUCAUGGGUUAAUACCCCGUGAAACUGACGGUACCUGCAGAAUAAGCACCGGCUAACUACGUGCCAGCAGCCGCGGUAAUACGUAGGGUGCAAGCGUUAAUCGGAAUUACUGGGCGUAAAGCGUGCGCAGGCGGUUCGGAAAGAAAGAUGUGAAAUCCCAGAGCUCAACUUUGGAACUGCAUUUUUAACUACCGGGCUAGAGUGUGUCAGAGGGAGGUGGAAUUCCGCGUGUAGCAGUGAAAUGCGUAGAUAUGCGGAGGAACACCGAUGGCGAAGGCAGCCUCCUGGGAUAGCACUGACGCUCAGGCACGAAAGCGUGGGGAGCAAACAGG
rnacentral:rRNA from 1 species